CAGCAGUGUGGCAGUGAAGAGCGGCUCGGUAUCGGGCAACCCGACGUGGCAUCACAGGUGGUGGACAUGAUUUCUACUCAGUGAAUGCAGACUAAACCAGGAGGGACUGUGGGUAAAUCGGAGAAGGUUUGUUGCUGGUGUUGUUUGAUGUCUAUCUCCAAGAUCCCUCAGUCUCUACCUCCGGAUAGAGUUCUUCUCAAAGAGAGACCACUCUGUGCAGCUGAGGAGGGUUCAACAUGAACCACCUAAAGAUCCAUGAGCAACCCAAGGAGGACUGUUGGAAGGUUUUUUUUAUUCAUCACAUCUACACUACAGCACAACCUUCCUUUGAAGAGCUCAGCUACGAAACAGUGCCCCCUGGAGGAGACAAGGGAUAAGGGCAGACAGAAGGGCCCAGUUUGGUGGUGCUGGGUUUUAAACUGCCAACCUUAUGAUCUGUUACCCAGACCCACGAUAUGUGGUAACGCUUCCAAUUUUAGUAUAUGUGCUGCUGUAGAAGGUUGAGGUUAGAAUGAGGAAGCUUUAUCGACAUUAGACAUGUGAUCAUAUGUACUGUAUGGCGUAAUAAACAUCCUAGUUUGGCAGGAAGAUUAGGUCAAAGCUCAGACGUGGUACAACAUUACAGAGCAGUUCAUGGUUAAAUGCCCUUGCUGAAGUUUGGUGCUGCUGGAAUUUAAGCCCUGGGCCAUCAAAAUAGCAGUCAUCGUCCCUUUGACAUCCCCAACACUCUGAUCACAAUGUAAUUCUGAAUCAGAAGGUAACAGUAAAUAAAGAGUAAUAUUCCAAUCUGUCUAGCAGACAUGUAAACAUGCCACAAAUCAGAAGCAUACGUUAGAUUUCACGCUGGAGGUGUGAAAUACGCAACGUUUUAUUCCCUAUGUGAAGACAUUUAGUAGACUGUGGCAUUUCAUUUCUAGGUAGCAUUUAUAGUUUUAUGCACUUUAUGUCCGACACGUCUCCGAUCACGUUCUUCAGUCAGGAAUAACAGUACGAGUGUGCUGCGUUUACUCGUUUCAACCUGCUUCUUCAAUUCCGCAUGUGAUUAUGUACAUCUCAGCCAGUGAUCAUGCUAAUCUUUGUUUGUUUAUUAAGCUUUAAAGUCAUGUUAGCUUCAGGGCUAUAAACAUGACUGAGAAGUGUCAACAAAUCCAUUAUAUUUAAAUUACUAUAUAAAAAAUGUCCGCUUCACAUGAGAAAGAAACUCAACACAUUCAGGUGAUACGUCAUGAAGGAUCCCUUGUAAACAUGUUUAGGGUUAAAUCGUUUCCUAGCAGUAUCGUCAAAGUUACAGUCUAACAAGAUGUGUUUAAUAGUCAAGGGAACUUGACAUCAGAGACAUAAAUGGGAGCUUCACCCCAUCAGUAGAAACCUAUGAGUAAGCCCCGAGUGGCACCUAGUGUAGACAACUUUGUUAUGCCUUGAUUUGAAACGAUGAGACAUUUCUGAGGUCAGAAGGUUUUAUUUCAGUUAGUUGUGCUAAGCUUUAAACAGAAUCACUCAAAAUGAUCAGGUGAUUCAGUGUUCAGAUCUUUAAUGUGUAAGCUGAUGUGUUAAAUCUGUACCGAAAGGCAAAAUAAUAGAGUAUGCUUUUGCAAAAUACAACUGCAAAAGCAUUUUUGUCUAAAAUUAAAUGACAAUUUGGUGACAAGUAUCAGCUACUUCACAAUCACCAAUUAUACAAAUCAUUAUAUUCUCCACCCUAAAACAUGCGAAAGGCAUUUUCACAAUAAUUUCUUUAGAUCCAAAAGUAUUUUUUUUAUAAUACGGCUUGUUAGAGUUAUUGGUUUUUUCCUCAGAAUCCAGAGAUGAAAAUAUGUUGCAAAACAAUACGGAUCCUAUAACCUGCUGAAUAGCAAAACUGAAAACACCAAAUGGAAUUUGAAAGAAUCCAUUAAUGAUGUAAGAUCCAAAACAAUUAAGAGUUUGGACACAAAAGUAAUAUUUGAGGUAUAGACACGCACAUUAAAUUGAUGUUUUUGACCUGGAACAAUUCAGGGUUGAUUAUUGUAUUGGUGCUUGAAUUUCUGGUUUACGCUCCUUGAGUCACUUUGGUGGACUUUAAAAUGAUGGACUUGUUUACACAGUUGUCCUUCUGCAGGUAAUAAUAAACACUUUAGAUACCAAGUCUAUAAGUCUACCAACUGCAAAUCAGAUGCCUGACACCAGCUGUAUACAUUUUCAACUUUUUAUUGAAUAUUAAGGUAAAUAUUUCACAUUAAUACAGGCUACAUAAAGUAGAGCCACUAUACGACAUGAAAUUUACUCUCAUUUUAACCCUUUUUCAGUAUGUAAACAAUUAUACAUGUAUUUACCACUCUAAAAGGUCUGAUUUCUCUCGUUGUGUAAUCACCUAUUUCUUGGCCGAGUAUAAAUAGCGCACUGCCCUAUAGAGCCCUGCAGACCAAGAACGCUUUAUGUGGGGCUUAAAUGUCAAAAAAAAAAAAAUGGCUAUACUACUCAAAAUGUAUCCUGUUGAACAGGCAAUCGAUUUGUUCGUAGACAGUGGUAAACACGUUAAAGCCCACACUGGAUUCUUUCUUUUAUUCAUUUAUUUUUCUUUUGUUAGGCACAUCAAAGGUGUCCGUCACUCAAAUCGCAUGAAUCUCGAUUUUACUUUUUAAGGGGACACGCCUAGGUUAACGUUUUGGUAAUUAGGAAAUUAUCUUGUUCUUUAAUGUGUACGUCUUGUUACUGCUCCUAUGCCUCUCAGUCUCUAGGUUUGGGUUUAGUUGACAUGAUUCAGAUGCACGUUUCCCACAUGCGGGGCCCAAGUCCCAGGCCACACCU